UACGUAGGCAGCAAGCGUUGUUCGGAGUUACUGGGCGUAAAGGGUGUGUAGGCGGUUGAUUAAGUUCGGUGUGAAAUCUCCCGGCUCAACUGGGAGGGUGCGCCGAAUACUGAUUGACUAGAGUGCGGGAGAGGUGAGUGGAAUUCCUGGUGUAGCGGUGAAAUGCGUAGAUAUCAGGAGGAACACCGGCGGUGUAGACGGCUCACUGGACCGCGACUGACGCUGAGACACGAAAGCGUGGGUAGCAAACAGG
rnacentral:rRNA from 1 species